rnacentral:rRNA from 1 species
UUUGGUUUAAGUUAGAAAGGGGCACGCGUGGAUGCCUGACACUAUGGAGUCGAUGAAAGGAACGGCGACUAACGCCGUAUGUAUCGGGGACUGUUAAGUAAGCUUUUUGAUCCGAGAUUUCGAAUGGGGAACCACCGCAUACGCUUAAUGGUUGGUAUCCUUAUCUGAAUACCUUGGUAAGGAAGAAGACCCAGGGAACUGAAACAUCUAAAGUACCUGGAGGAAAGAAAGCAAAAUGCAUUUCCUGAGUAGCGGCGAGCGAAACGGAACAUAGCCCAACCAGAGGCUUGGCCUCUUGGGGUGUAGGAUAUUCUAUACGGAGUUUUUUCAAAGGAACGAGGUAGACGAAGCGACCUUGGAAAGGUCGUCGUAGAGGGUAACAACGCCCGGUAGUCGAAACUUCGUUCUGCCUUGAAGUAUCCUGAGUACGGCGGAACACGUGAAAUUCCGUCGGAAUCUGGGAGGACCAUCUCCCAAGGCUAAAUACUCCCUAGUGAUCGAUUAGUGAACCAGUACGUUGAGGGAAGGUGAAAAGCACCCCGUAAGGGGAGUGAAAAGAUCUGAACCGUGAGUGGCCUACAAUAGUCAGAGCCCGUUAAACGUGAUGGCGGUGCACUUUUGUAGAAUGAAAAAAAAACCGGGGGGGGGCCCGGUUAACAUGGGGAUUUUUUUUUUUUUUUCCACCGUGCGAGGUUAAGCUGAGAGGCGGAGGCCGCAGCGAAAGCGGGAGUCAGUGAAUAGGGCGUUUAGUUACUGGUCGAUAGACCCGAAACCAGGUGAUCUACCCAUGUUCCAGGGUGAAGUCAGGUAACACUUGAAUGCGAAGGCCGAACCCACCGCACGUUGAAAGUGCGGGGAUUGAGUGUAAUGUGGGUAGCGGAAGAAUUCCAAUCGAAAACCUUGUAGAUUAGCUGGUUCUCCCCGAAAAAAUUUUUUAGGGGGGCUUGGCUAGCCUUAAGUGUUAGGGUCUUGGAGGUUUAGAGCAUGAUUGGACUUAGGGGUCCUCAUCGGGAUUUACCGAAUUCAGUCAAACUCGAAUGCCAAUGACUUAUCCUUAGGAGUAGACUGGCGAGUGAUAAAGAUCCAGUAGUCAAAGAGGGGAAACAAGCCAGAACCGACCAGCUAAGUCCCAAAGUGUGUAUUAAGUGGAAAAGGAGAUGUAGGAGUUGCUUAGACAACUAGGGAUGUUGGACUUAGAAGCAGCCACCAUUUAAAGAGUGUCGUAAUAGCUCACUAGUCGAGUGACUCUGCGCCGAAAAUUGUACGCGAAAAUGUACCGGGCUAAAUACACCACCGAAGCUGCGGAUGAUACCAAUGGUAUCAGUGUAGGGAGCGUUCUAAGGACAGUGAGUCCCAGACCGUAAGGACUGGUGGAGUUGCUUAGGAAGUGAGAAUGCCGGUAAUGAGUAGGCGAAAGGACGGGUGAGAAUCCCGUCCACCGAAUUGCCUAAGGUUCCUGAGGAAGGCUCGUCCCUCAGGGUUAGUCAGGACCUAAGCCGAGGCGACAGGCGUAGGCGAUGGACAACAGGUUGAUAUUCUGUACCACCCUCUUUAUCGUUUUGAGCAAUGGAGGGACGCAGAAGGAUAGAAGGAAGCGUGCGAUUGGUUGUGCACGUCAAGCAGUAGGCUGAUAAGUAGGAAAUCCGCUUAUCAUAAAGCUGAGCUGUUGAUGGGGAGCUCCUUAUGGAGCGAAGUCUUUGAUUCCCCGGCCCUGCCAAGAAAAGCUUCUAGCGAGAUAAAAGGUGCCUGUACCGCAAAACCACACAGUAGCGAGGAGAGAUCCUAAGGGUGCGAGAGAACUCUGGUAAAGGAACUCGCAAAAUGACCCCGAACUUCGGGAGAAGGGGUGCUUUCUAACGGAAAGGCCGCAGUGAAUAGGCAAGCCGACUGUUUUAGCAAAAACACAGCUCUCUGCGAAGCCGUUAAGGCGAAGUAUAGGGGGUGACACCUGCCCGGUGCUGGAAGGUUAAGGAGAGGGGUUAGCGUUAAGCGAGCUCUGAACUGAAGCCCCAGUAAACGGGCGGCCGUAACUAUAACGGUCCUAAGGUUAGCGAAAUUCUGUCGGUAAGUUUCCGACCCGCCACGAAAGGGUAACGAUUUUGGGCACUGUCUCAACCAGAGACUCGGUGAAAUUAUAGUACCGUGAAGAUGCAGGUUACCCGCGACGGACGAAAGACCCCUGGAGCUUUACUGUAGCCUGAUAUUGAAUUUUGGUACAGUUUGUACAGGAUAGGCGGGAGCCAUUUGAAACCGGAGCGCUAGCUUCGGUGGAGGCGCUGGUGGGAUACCGCCCUGACGUAUUGAAAUUCUAACCUACGGGUCUUAUCGACCCGGGAGACAGUUGUCAGGUGGGCAGUUUGGACUGGGGCGGUCGCCUCCUUAAAGUGUAACGGAGCGCCCAAAGGUUGCCCUCAGAAUGGUUGGAAAUCAUUCGUUUAGAGUGCAAGGCAUAAGGAGUUGACUGCGAGACCUACAAGUCGACAGGGACGAAAGGUCGGCUUAGUGAUCGGUGGUUCCGCAUGGAAGGGCGAUCGCUCAAGGAUUAAAGCUACCCGGGGAUACAGGCUUAUCUCCCCAGGCUCCACAUCGACGGGGGGACCCAUGCGGUCAUCGCAUCCUGGGGCUGUAGUCGUCCCAAGGUGGCUGUUCGCCCAUUAAUAGCGGUGUAUCGCGAGCUGUCAGACGUCGUGAGACAGUUCGUCCCUAUCCGUCGUGGCCGUAGGAAUUGAGAGAGCUUUCUUAGUACGAGGGACGGAUGGGACGCACCGCCUGGUGUAAGUUGUUCUGGGGGCCAGGAUAGCUGGGGUGGGGGGCUAUGUGCGAGGAUUAAGUGAUGAAGCAUCUAAGCAAUGAAGCCCCCUGCAAGAUGAAUUUCCCAUUAGCGUAAGCUGUAGAUCCCUGAAAGAUGAUCAGUGAUAGGUUCGAGGUGGAAGCAUGGUGACAGUGUGGGGAACACGAAUUACUAAUUAAUCGAGGAUAGAACCAUA